rnacentral:rRNA from 1 species
UACGUAGGGUGCGAGCGUUAAUCGGAAUUACUGGGCGUAAAGAGUGCGUAGGCGGUUCGUUAAGUCAGCUGUGAAAGCCCCGGGCUCAACCUGGGAAUUGCGAUGGAGACUGCAAGGCUUGAAUCUGGCAGAGGGGGGUAGAAUUCCACGUGUAGCAGUGAAAUGCGUAGAGAUGUGGAGGAACACCGAUGGCGAAGGCAAUCCCCUGGACCUGUACUGACGCUCAUGCACGAAAGGCGUGGGGAGCAAACAGGGAUU